rnacentral:rRNA from 1 species
AUUGAACGCUGGCGGCAGGCCUAACACAUGCAAGUCGAACGAGUGGCGGACGGGUGAGUAAUGUCUGGGAAACUGCCUGAUGGAGGGGGAUAACUACUGGACACGGUAGCUAAUACCGCAUACCAUCAGAUGUGCCCAGAUGGGAUUAGGUUGUGGGUGGGGUAACGGCUCACAAAGGCGACGAUCCCUAGCUGGUCUGAGAGGAUGACCACCCACACGGGAACUGAGACACGGUCCAGACUCCGAAGGGAGGCAGCAGGGGGGAAUAUUGCACAAUGGGGGCAAGCUUGAUGCAGCCAUGCCGGGUGUAUGAAGAAGGCCUUCGGGUUGUAAAGUACUUUCAGCGGGGAGGCGUUACCCGCAGAAGAAGCACCGGCUAACUCCGUGCCAGCAGCCGCGUAAUUC